AUUGAACGCUGGCGGAAUGCUUUACACAUGCAAGUCGAACGGCAGCACGGGGCAACCUGGUGGCGAGUGGCGAACGGGUGAGUAAUACAUCGGAACGUGCCCAAUCGUGGGGAUAACGUAGCGAAAGUUACGCUAAUACCGCAUACGAUCUACGGAUGAAAGCGGGGGAUCGCAAGACCUCGCGCGAAUGGAGCGGCCGAUGUCAGAUUAGGUAGUUGGUGGGGUAAAGGCUCACCAAGCCAACGAUCUGUAGCUGGUCUGAGAGGACGACCAGCCACACUGGAACUGAGACACGGUCCAGACUCCUACGGGAGGCAGCAGUGGGGAAUUUUGGACAAUGGGCGCAAGCCUGAUCCAGCCAUUCCGCGUGCAGGAUGAAGGCCUUC
rnacentral:rRNA from 1 species